rnacentral:rRNA from 1 species
UGGUUGUCGUCAGCUCGUGCCGUGAGGUGUCGGGUUAAGUCCCAUAACGAGCGCAACCCCUACCUUUAGUUGCCAUCAGGUUAAGCUGGGGACUCUAAAGGAACUGCCUACGCAAGUAGUGAGGAAGGCGGGGAUGACGUCAAAUCAGCACGGCCCUUACGUCCAGGGCUACACACGUGCUACAAUGGCCGAUACAGAGGGCAGCUACCUGGUGACAGGAUGCAAAUCUCCAAAGUCGGUCUCAGUUCGGAUCGGAGUCUGCAACCCGACUCCGUGAAGUUGGAUUCGCUAGUAAUCGCGCAUCAGCCAUGGCGCGGUGAAUACGUUCCCGGGCCUU